AUUCCAGCUCCAAUAGCGUAUAUUAAAGUUGUUGCGGUUAAAAAGCUCGUAGUUGGAUCUCGGCGGGCAGGGGGUGGUUCGCUCUUCAGCGCUACUGCCCCGCUUUGCCCGUGUGAUUGGCGGAGGUUUCGGGGUGCUCUUCGUUGAGUGACUCGGAGCGCCGUCAGGUUUACUUUGAAAAAAUUAGAGUGCUCAAAGCAGGCUUUUCACGCUUGAAUAUUCGUGCAUGGAAUAAUGGAAUAGGAACUCGUUUCUAUUUUGUUGGUUUCUAGAGCUGAGGUAAUGAUUGAUAGGGAUAGUUGGGGGCAUUCGUAUUUAACUGUCAGAGGUGCAAUUCUUGGAUUUGUUAAAGACGGACUACUGCGAAAGCAUUUGCCAAGGAUGUUUUCAUUG
rnacentral:rRNA from 1 species